AACGAACGCUGGCGGCAGGCUUAACACAUGCAAGUCGAGCGCCCCGCAAGGGGAGCGGCAGACGGGUGAGUAACGCGUGGGAAUCUACCCAUCUCUACGGAAUAACGCAUGGAAACGUGUGCUAAUACCGUAUACGUCCUUCGGGAGAAAGAUUUAUCGGAGAUGGAAGAGCCCGCGUUGGAUUAGCUAGUUGGUGGGGUAAAGGCCUACCAAGGCGACGAUCCAUAGCUGGUCUGAGAGGAUGAUCAGCCACACUGGGACUGAGACACGGCCCAGACUCCUACGGGAGGCAGCAGUGGGGAAUAUUGGACAAUGGGCGAAGCCUGAUCCAGCCAUGCCGCGUGAGUGAUGAAGGCCCUAGGGUUGUAAAGCUCUUUCACCGGUGAAGAUAAUGACGGUAACCGGAGAAGAAGCCCCGGCUAACUUCGUGCCAGCCGCCGCGGUAACAC
rnacentral:rRNA from 1 species